AAACGGAGAGAAUUCGGGGUGGAAGGAAACAGAGGAAUAAAUUCAGACAGAAUCACAAGGAAAGCAAAAGGAAAAACGCAAGCAGAAAACACAUAGACUAACAUCAACUUCACCGUCGUCUUCAUCGCCUCCAGCAGAUCAGCCCCAAGAAUAAAUCAAGAGGCUUUGAAAAACAUUUGCCACACGGGAUCAUAUUUGAAAUGUGGGCGUGUAAUGACGUUUCUACUCGGAGGAGGCUAUGUGAUAUCUUUUUGAUAGGCAGCGGUUUCUUUUCUUUGUUCUUUAUUAUUGUAGAGGAAAUCUCUCUGUUUUAAUUUGAGAAAUCUCAUUUAGAUUUUUUUUAGUGGGUUAAGAUGUAUCUAAUUUAUCCAUAAUUCAAAAUAAUUUUAUUAAAAUAAUAUAAGGUAUAAAAUCCAAAUUUUAUUUAAUUAAAAACAAUUUUAAUUAAAUUAUAAUCAUAUUAUGAAAAAUAAUUCUAUAAUUAAUUUAA